AUUGAACGCUGGCGGCAGGCCUAACACAUGCAAGUCGAGCGGAUGAAGGGAGCUUGCUCCUGGAUUCAGCGGCGGACGGGUGAGUAAUGCCUAGGAAUCUGCCUGGUAGUGGGGGAUAACGUCCGGAAACGGGCGCUAAUACCGCAUACGUCCUGAGGGAGAAAGUGGGGGAUCUUCGGACCUCACGCUAUCAGAUGAGCCUAGGUCGGAUUAGCUAGUUGGUGGGGUAAAGGCCUACCAAGGCGACGAGCCGUAACUGGUAUGAGAGGGUGAUCAGUCAAACUGGAAAGGAGAGACGGUAGAGAAUCCGAAGGGAGGGAGCAGUGGGGAAUGGUGGGAAAUGGGGUAGAGAUUGACGGAGAAAAGCGGGGGGAGUGAUGAAGGUAUUAGGAUCGUAAAACUUUGUGAUUAGGGAAGAAAAAAUGUGUAAGUAAAUAUGCACGUCAUGACGGUAGGUAAUAAGAAAGCCACGGCUAACUAGGUG
rnacentral:rRNA from 1 species